rnacentral:snoRNA from 1 species
GCUGCUGUGAUGAAGUUGCUAACAAGUAAGAGGAGUCAGUAUGAUCAAUUGACUCUUUGAUGAAAUAUUUUACGCUUGGCUUCUGAGCUUU